rfam:Camelus ferus unplaced genomic scaffold scaffold843, whole genome shotgun sequence.
AAGGGUAUAGCUCCGUGGUAGAGUGCAUGCUUAGCAUGCAUGAGGUCCUAGGUUCAAUCCCCAGGACCUCCA